AGGAAGCUGUAGAUUUGGUUUGGACACAGGAAAGAAAUGAUGCCCAGUUGAUCUGAGACUCCCACAGGAACAUAAGCUCUGUGUGUGUGUGUGUGUGUGUGUGUGUGUGUGUGUGUGUGUGUGUAUGUGUGUGUGUGUGUUUAAGGUUCUGUCCUGUCAUAAAGGAAUCAUCAAGCAGAAUUAUGAUCAUGGACUACAAAGAGAGAAGAAAGUGAGAACAAAGAACAAUAUGGACACCAUGGUGGUCUUUAAUGAUUGGCCAUGAAGAAUAGAGGCGAGAGUGUGGUAAAGUAUGUGAGAGAGAUGUAAGAGUGCAGUCUGAUAGGGCGAUGUAUGAAUAUUUGAGUAGCGAUGGAAAAUGAGUGAACUUAUUGACUUUUGAAAGGGAAAGUAGCUCAUUAGCAGAGCCAGUGGGUAUUUGUUGGUUAUUGGUUGACUGAAUUUGCCAUCGUUGGUUUAAGAUGAGAGAACUGCAGGAGUCCCCUAGCUUCUGCAGACCUCAUGGAAAGCACAAGUGGAGAAGGUAACGUUAAAAAUAAAAUGUCCUCUUCCCCUUCGAAGUGACAGCAUGGAGAGAUAAGAACAGCACAGAAGGGAAGCCAUGUCCCUCCCUGCCUUACACAUCAAACUGCACAGGUAAUAAAGUCCCUACAUAAGAGCAAUGCAAUGACAGAAAUUUCCACCAUGCAGAGUUCAAACCCUGCUCUGUUGAUUGACUUGACUUCCCCCAGGGAAAUCACAGGUUCCUGCUGAAACAGAGAAUGCCUGCUUCUCCCUGCUCCUGAGAUACUUUUGAGUGAUCCCAGUCACUUUUCGAACAAUUGUGAUUUUUUUUUUUUGAUGUUUGAAACAUUUUCAUCUGACAUGUGGAACAAGUACAAGGAAGGCAUUUCUAGGAAACCAGGUUUAUUUCCCCAAGAGUCACAUGCGUAGUGACACAUCUCCCUUGACAGUGCUCGAUGCUUCACAGGCUUCACAAUUUUGCACUCUGUCUAGGGACACAGAAGCCAGCGACACAGCAGGCCAGCAUGAUACAGGGCUAGUGGCUCAAAUAUCAGCUUAGUGAGCACCUAAUUGUGUGGCCUCGAGUCUGGAAGCCCCAGAAAAGUGACCAUUCUAAUCCCUCUCUUGUGCCUCUAGUGAGGCAAGAUGAACCGUUCCAAGCUCGUGGAGCAAUGCCUCACAGAGAACUCUUCAUAGGUGAAAAACUACUAGAAGAAUUACUUUUAAUAAUCCAUAAGAAGCAGUGAGUUAUUGAUCUUCUGGUACACACCUGUUACUUUUGUUACAGCCUUCUAUGCUGGGGAGAUGAAACUAAUAAACCUUCACAGCCCUAAAGGUCUAUAAAAUAAAACCUCUACGUUCAAGACAAGCAGACAUAGCCUCUUCAUACAUGGACACUGUUUCUUUCUGUGCUGCUAACAGAUUUUCGACACCUUGGUCCUUUCAGAGAACACUAAUUUAUCCCCCUUACAAUUCUCCAAAUCAGAAGUCAAAAUCAAGCCAGACCUAGCAGUGCAAUCCUGUAAUAAAAAGGGAGGCUGGGGCAGGAGGAUUAUAAAUUCAAGAACAGCAUCAGCUAGAAAUGAAUUUGAGGCCAGGCUGGGCAACUUUGAGAUCCUAUCUCAAAAGGUAAGAAGAUGCCUAAGGAUGGAUCUCAGGGAGAGCAUUUGCCUAGCACACCACGGAGCCCUAAUUUCAAUGGCGAGUCCUGAAAGAGAGAAAAAGUAAGUCAGCUAAACUGCCCGCGCGCGCGCACACACACACACACACACACACACACACACACACACACACACCCUGGCUGAAAUCUAGGUAGCAGUAUGGUGCUGUUUUCCACAGCAGUUCAAAGGACUCAGUGUCUGCUUAUCCAGCUGUGGAGAGGCUCCACUGCAUGGUUUGUGGCCCUAUCCACCUUCAAACCUAUCACCCUAACAUCUGUUCCCCCCUUCCUCUCUAUCUCAGAUCUGCCUAUUUUAUCGUCACAUUUGUAUCUACGCUGGGCUUGCCUGGAUCAUCCAGGAUUUUCUCCUCAACUCAGACUCCUUCAUCGAAAUUGUGAGACCCGUUUGACUAUUCACUUCCUGGUGGUCAGGACAGGACACGCACUUCUGAGAAAGGAACCAAUACAAAUAAGAGCGAUUCCCCCAUUGUAGCAGGUUGACAGUGAACAGCUCGGGAUUUACUGCAGAACAAAAAUCCACAGGAGGAACAAAAACAGAAAGGUUGCGGUCUAGGCAGCAAGCUUGCAAGAUGAGCAGCAUUAUGGCCAUUGCCCGGGAGAAGUCCUGAGGGUAUACCGCUGUCCCAGGGUUCUUCUGAUAGUCCACAUUGAUUCAUGACUGCUUCCAAGGAGAGCUUGUGCAUCCAUACAAGGUGGCUUUUGUACUUUGGAUACAAAGGAAAAGAAGAGAGGGACAAAGCAAGAGACAAAGAAGUGCCCUACUUGUGAGCUGCGAAGUUUUCUUCCUUGAAAAGAAUACAAAGUGCAGGAAAGUGUCCCACUUCUCCUCUUUCUUUGUCUUUCCUUUUCUGCCUUGUCUUUUGGUCCUUUCCUUAAAAAAAUCAUCUUUUGGCUAGAAGAGAUUGGAGAAUGGAAUGAGGCAAACAGUGUUUCGAGGGGAAAGAAGAAAAACAAAUCAUGGUUGAUGGAGAUAUUAGAGCCAUAGAAAUGCAAGGGUCACCUCAAGGAGUCACCCUAGAUGUCCAUAAACAGAUGGAUGAGGAAGAAGAUGUGUAUAUAUGCAAAACGAACUUUUGUUCAGCCAUGAAGAAGGGAACUGUGUUUGCAGUUGAUGAAGAGGGCCAUGAUGUUAUACAAAGGCAAGUGUGCGUUUCUGUGGUUUGAAUGCGAAACGGCCAUAAGCUCACACGCAGGAACACUCAAUCCUCCGCUGGUGGUGCUCCUGGUGGAAGCUUUAGAAGUAGAUCCUCUCUUCCUGAAGGAAAUGGGUCGCUGGGGGCGGGACUUGAUGCUUUAGAGCCAGCCUCACUUCCUGUUCCAGUGUAACCAGCCUGUCUCCAGUAGGGCCUCUGUUCUUUCCAUGCCCUUCGCCAUGUCUUCCCCAUCGUGAUGGACUGUAAGCUCAAAUAAUCCCUCCCUCCCUUUAGAUGCUUUUGCAUCAAUAUUGUACCACAGUAAAAGAAAAGGCCCUGAGACUCAUGCUUUCUCUCAAAUGUGACCCCUAGAGGGGAAAAGACGAUCAAAGUAAAGGAGCCGGUGAGGCAUAUGGAAGGAGAAAGGGCGGGAGAAGAGGAGAACGCACUAUAGUAGUUGAGUAUAAUAAAAGUGAACUGUGUGCAUAAACAGGAAUGUCAUAAUGAGGCACACUACUUCUGUGAUCAGUAUAUGCCAAGUAAAAAUAUGCAUUUAAAAUCAAGCAUAAAAAAGGAAGCAAAGUACUUCAUGCUGGGACAGUAAUAAAGAUGCCUUGGGGGCCUCUCAGGAAUCAGGAAAACCUUACUGCUACACUGUAAAGGCAUAAAAGAUUAACUCCUUCAAGGUGUUCCUUCAGUCAAGGGUUCCUUCAGUCAACAGUACCUUCAGUGUGUUCUGCUCCCACGGGGCUAUACAGGAGCAUGUCUUUCUCAAUAACAGGUUCACCAUGCUCGUGUGCAGCCACCUCACACUUUUCAGCCAUGUUCCAAGGGUGGUAGGAAAGGCUGAGACCUCAUAGCAUAAGCAGGAAGCAAAGGCCACGAUGGGAAUGAUAUUUUUAAACCUCAACAUCCACCCCCAGUGACACCCUUUCUCCAACAAGGGCACAACUCCUAACUCUUCCCACAUAAUUCCACCAUCUGGGACCUAGUCUUCAAAUAUGUGACCCAAAAGGGCGAGGCCAUUCUCAUUCAAACCACUGCGCAUGUCAAGGAAAGCAUGCGAUGCUCCGGCAGUUCGAACCAGACACGCCCCCAAAGGCUAUGUCAUUAGAGAUGCCUGAGACAUGACUAUUCUCUAAGGAAAUUUUCAGGCAAUAGUUAGCCCAAGAAAUAGGCACCAGUAAAGCCACAGGAAGGCGUGCCCAAACCCUGUGGAGCUCACAUCACAUCAAUGUAUCCCCCAGAUACCAGCCACAGACUUAAGGACUUGAUGUUUGCCCUAAUGCAUUUCAGUCUCGCGUUGGUCCCACUCUUCCUUUGGGUCCUCAUCCCUGCCUUUUGGUUUGGGAAUGCUUACUCCAUGCCAUUAUAAUCCUCAAAAGAAUCUACUUUCUAAAAAUGACAUCCAUGCCUUUAGUCUCAGAAACACCUUCACACUUGGACUUUUGAACAACUCCUAAGAUUCUUAGAAUGGGUGUAAUUUGUAUUCUCAGGUAGCCAUUGGACUUUAGAAGCCAGAAGAGGAAUGUUAGGGUUUGAAUAAUAAAAUGUCUUCCAUAGACUUGUGUAUUGAACAUUUUGGUCCCCGGUGGUAGCACUCUCUGAGGACACUUACCUUGACCUAAAAGCAAUAAAUCCAGCCAGAAAUGGGUUGAAACCUCUGCCAUCACAAGCCAAAUUAAAUAGCUCAUGCCUUUAAGUUGUUUUUCUAAGGUUGGAGUAAGGAACCAUGAGCAACUCACUUAGUGUUGACUGCAUAGUGGCUGGCUCUAUGGUAUGGAAGCUUGGCUGCUCCGGAUGUUCAAGUUGGCUUUUUUUUUUCUUUUUCGUAUUGGAAUGCUUAGAAAUAGCUGGAGUUAUACACAUGAUCUCUCUUUUUAUCUCUCGUUGUUCCUUGUUUCUUUCCCUCUUUGUCCCACUCUUUGUUCUAGAUUGUGAACACUACACACAUAACUGACUAGGCUUACUUAAAGGCAACACUCCAUGUAGUUAGAUGUCUUCUAAAUUCCUACAAGGCAAAAAAAAAAGUAAGUCCUUUUAUGACCUUGUCCCAGAAAUCAUAGAGCCACUCACCCAUUGAACUCUCUCAGCUACAGAGGAUAGAGCCGGGUCGCUGAAGGAAGAUGAUCAAAGCCAUGGAUGCAGAAGAGACUAGUUUCUUGGGAACUGUCUUUCGAACCUGGACAGGAUAUAACAGGGUGAUGUCUAAACUCAAGAAUUUCAGAAUGGUUAAUAAAGCUGGGACUAAGUGUUGUAAUCUGAUUAUUGAUUUUGGCUUUGCCUGUGCUUGUAAAUAUGAUGUCACCUUUAAAUACCAAACAACAAAACUUAAAAUUAUAAUUGGAAAGAAUAAUAGUGUGUGGUCUUAAUAGAAAUGGCCCCUCAUAGACUCAUGUGUUUGAAUGCUUUGCUCAUAGGGAGUAGUGCUGUUAGGAGGUGUGGCCUUGUUGGAGUAGGUGUGAUCUUGUUGGAGGAAGAAUGUCACUGUGAAAGUGGGCUUUGGAGUCUCCUAUAUUCAAGCUACAACCGGUGUGGCACACAGUUUCCUUCUGCUACUGAAGAUCAAUAUGUAGAACUCUCAACUCCUUCUCUAGCAUCAUAUCUACCUGCAUGCUGCCGUGUCUCCAACUAUGACAAUAGUGGACUAAACUUCUGGAAGUGUAAGCCACCCCCAAUGAAAUGUUUUCCUUUGUACGAGUUGCUGUGGUCAUGGUGUCUCUUCACUGCAAGGACACCCUAACUAAGGGAAGUAGUCUACAUAACCAAAUACCAGGCAGCAGCUUAAAAACAACCACAAAACAACAAACUCUCUGCUUCAAAAAUCUUUUAAACUAUAAAGAGUUCAGUUAGAAUGCAGAGGACAAAACAAAAUACUCUAUGUUUAUAGCCAAUACUGUUUUUCUUAAACACACAUGCAUGUACAUAUAUGUUCGAUUUAAAUAAACUCAUGUACACAAGACUAGAAAGAAUCUUAUGAAUAUGACCAAAAUAUUGGUUUUUUCUUCUUUAUUUCUUUCCAAAUUUACUGUAAUCAACAUGCAUUGUUUUGUUAUUUUACCUCUAGCAUGUAUUAGGAACAUCCACCAAGGGAAGGGAGGAGUCAGUCUUUAUGCUCAUACCUGGAGCUUUCUAAAACUACCAUAAAAUGAGAAGUGUACAUGGCCUUUGACAGUAAGACUUGGUAAAGGUGGAAAAGGAAGCCUUCAAGAUGGCUGGAGAUGACUGACAUUCCGUGAUCUCAACAAUGACGACUUUGUAAGAGUAUAAAAAGCAACAGGAGAUUUUCUGAAUUAUUCUAUGGGUAGGAAGGGUAACUCAGACAACAGUGAGUCCAAGAACUGAGUCACUGGCCCAAUACACACACACACACACACACACACACACACACACAGAGAGAGAGAGAGAGAGAGAGAGAGAGAGAGAGAGAGAGAGGGAGAGAGAGAGGCAACGUUCUGACAUAGGUAGUAUUUAACACUUCUAACAAAGUUGUAUGACCAGCCACAUUUCAUCCUUGCAAUAGUCCUGAAGCACCAACAUCUCUUUUUGUGGUUUGGUUUUGUUUAGUGUUUGAGACAAGGCUUCACAAUGCAGCUUGGCAGGCGUAGAAGUCACUGUGUAGAGUAGAUUGAGUUUGAACUCACUGAGCUCCCCAUGCUUCUGCAUGUCAAACACUGGGAUGAAAGGCCUAGGUACUGAUCCAUCACUUAGUGCUGGAAGUUGUCCUUAUGUCCUCGAAUGUUAAAACAAAGAAAAGUGAAAGAGUAAAAGUGACUAAAGCCCUGUAUCACACCGCAUUCGAGAAUUCAGGACGUCCGUUGGAAAACGCAAUAUUUUUAUGCAAUAGCAGACACACCACGCUUUCCUGUUUAACAAGUGCAUAUAAACGGGAAGAGAACAUACCUCACUGGCAGGAGUAUACAGCAGCAACCAGAAAUAGAUGUUUAAUGACCUCUGUAGUAACAAGAGGAACAAUGACCCAUGCAUGGCUCCCAAGGCUGAACCUCAUUUCUAUGUCAAACCCAGUAAAAUAUAGUGUAGAUCACGGCUCUAACUCAGGCGAUUCGCUUCGUUUUUCAGGUGGAGUUGAAGGUAUUUAACCACAUACUUCACAGCGCUGCCUUUAAAUCCCUCUUUCUUUCUUGAGAUGUCUGGCACUCAUUCACUUGGUGUCCUUUCUUCUUUCCUUCUGCAGAAAAAAAAAUAAACUCUUCUUAAACAGGAAUAAUCCCACCUGGAAUAAAGCAAAACAUUGCCCUGUGGGGCCAUGGAUGUAGAGUGUCAGCAAUGAUUUUAAGUGAAAGCAUUGCAGUCUUUCCUGGGAAACAUCUAAAAGGGAUCAACACAGUUUCUUGGUCUUCUCCUUCAUACAGCAAUAAUGUAAAUGACUCGACUAGAGCUGAAACACCUAUUUUGGUGCCUGAAAGACCGCACCAAAUAGUGACUGAGGGGCUCAUACCAAAUGCUAUUGACCAUGCAACUUCCCUAGCAAUUAUUAACACUGCCUGUGCCAGAUCAUUGUGUGUGUGUGUGUGUGUGUGUGUGUGUUUUAAAAACAAUGCUCUGAAUUGGGUCAGUGCCUGUUAUUCAGAUAUUGUUCUGUAGCUUACAGCCAAAC